GCAUCUGUAUCUCAGUGACAGAGCACUGGCCUUGUAAAUCAGGGAUCGUGAGUUCAAUCCUCAUAAGAGGGA